rnacentral:rRNA from 1 species
CGGUGUUCAACUGGCGUGUCCGCGGGACGUCCUGCCGGUGGGCUUAGCCCGCAAGGGCGGCCCAACUUCAAAUCCCAUCGCGGUGCUCUUCACUGAGUGUCGAGGUGGGCCGGCACGUUUACUUUGAACAAAUUAGAGUGCUUAAAGCAGGCUAAAACUUCGCCUGAAUACUGUGUGCAUGGAAUAAUGGAAUAGGACCUCGGUUCUAUUUUGUUGGUUUUCGGAACCCCGAGGUAAUGAUUAAUAGGAACGGAUGGGGGCAUUCGUAUUGCGACGUUAGAGGUGAAAUUCUUGGAUCGUCGCAAGACGGACAGAAGCGAAAGCAUUUGCCAAAAACGCUUUCAUUGAUCAAGAACGAAAGUUAGAGGUUCGAAGGCGAUCAGAUACCGCCCUAGUUCUACCCAUAAACGAUGCCAGCUAGCGAUCCGUCGACGUUCCUCCGAUGACUCGACGGGCAGCUUCCGGGAAACCAAAGCUUUUGGGUUCCGGGGGAAGUAUGGUUGCAAAGCUGAAACUUAAAGGAAUUGACGGAAGGGCACCACCAGGAGUGGAGCCUGCGGCUUAAUUUGACUCAACACGGGAAACCUCAUCAGGCCCGGACACCGGAAGGGAUUGACAGAUUGAGAGCUCUUUCUUGAUUCGGUGGGUGGGUGGUGCAUGGGCCGUUCUUAGUUGGUGGAGCGAUUUGUCUGGUUAAUUCCGAUAACGAACGAGACUCUAGCCUGCUAACUAGGCGUAUUUUCGACAUCUCAAAGGUCCGUCGUCCCGGCCCUCGGGUCGUGGGCGUGCGCGAUUUUUACUGUCGGCGUACUAUCAAUUCUUCUUAGAGGGACAGGUGGCUUCUAGCCGCACGAGAUUGAGCAAUAACAGGUCUGUGAUG